CAGUGGUCAACAGUGGCCCGAACCAUUGGACUCCUUGCUCAAAACUGCCUCAGCUCAUCUGCCUGAAAUUCCAGUUACUGUCAUGUUGUGGGGACCCAUAUAGGAACAAAACGUGGACUACUCGAGAGGUAGCUACCCUGCGCCCACAGACUGUGACAACGGAGGGUGACCCAGGAGGGGAAGCUGCCUCUCUUCCGGCCUAGGAUCCAUUGUCAUCUGCAGAGAGAGAAGUGCCAAGGGAUCCUCAGAGAUACCAUGACUGCAGCACCAACCAAAAUCCACCCAGGUAAUCCUCUCCUGUUCAGUAAAUUCUCUUGACCCCAGCUCACUGUCCCCACCUACAACGGGAGAUGCUAGAGAUUAUGAAGUGACUUGAGG
rnacentral:lncRNA from 1 species